GACGUCGACAAAGGGGGGAGUCGGUUGUCAGACAGUAGAAGAAGAGCUCAGGCUGGAGGAGACACAGAAGCUGGAGGAUUGAGGAUGGAGUCAGGUCAGAACCAGAGCGCUCUCGUGUCCACAAGGACCAGAGUCACGCGCAGAAAAUACGAAUACGUUAAAAACCUUAUGGAAAAUUGGUCUCCGCGUGAAGACGAGGACAUUUACCUCCAGAGUUUCCCGAACAGAUCCCUCCAGCAUCACAUCGAUCUGCAGCUGUGUGUGCGUGCGUGUGUGUGUGUGUGUGUGUGUGUGUCUCAGAGGGAGUCUGUUUCUGUCUUUGGUUAUCUAGCUGUAUGAGUUUUAAGUACCUGUCAUAAAGCUAGAUAACCGAAAGUAGAAAUGACUUCCACUAAUACCAGACAGAGGAGAGAGAGAGAGCAGAUCCUCUGGUGGAUUCUGGCAAAAACAGAAAGGGCAUGUUGUGAUCUGUGGGGAGUACCAGGAGGAAACCCGCACAUGCAUGGGGAGAACAUGCAUGCAACUCCACGCAGAUUGUUUGCAGCCAAGUUUCAAACUUGCAACCUUCUUGCUGCGAGGCAACAGUGCUAACUGAGCCAACAUGCAGACCAACUUAAUCAACUAAGUAACAUUAAUAAAGGGACUCUUGGUUUAUUAAUGCUUAAUAAUGUACUAAAUAACGUUAAUAAGAGUCAUUUUGUUUAUUAAUGCUUAAUAAUGAACUAAGUAAUGUUAAUAAAGGGACCCUAUGUUUAUUAAUGCUUAAUAAUGAACUAAGUAACAUUAACAAAGAGACCCUUUGUUUAUUAAUGCUUAAUAAUGCACUAAGUUACAUUAAUAAAGAGACACUUUGUUUAUUAAUGCUUAAUAAUGGACUAAGUAACAAUAAUGAAGGGUCACUUUGUUUAUUAAUGCUUAAUAUAGAACUAAGUAACAAUAAUAAUGGGUCACUUUGUUUAUUAAUGCUUAAUAAUGAACUAAGGAACAUUAAUAAAGGGUCACUUUGUUUACUAAUGCUUAAAAUGCACAAAGUAACAUUAAUGACUCUUAUUGUAAAGUGUUACCAAAUGUUUCAUUUAAAUAUCCUUUAUUGUUGUAUUUCACAAUGAAAUUGAUGAAUCAUCUUUCCUCUUAGGCGUUAUAAAACAAAAUAUAACAAAACAGCAAAUUAGCAUGUAAAUCCACUAAAUUGAGUGUACUAGCCUGUAUUCUGCAGUCUGAUAGGGAUAAAACUGUCAUUUUUUGAAAAUGCUUUUGGUCAAAAUGAUCUUUUAGGUUCGGCUCUAAACUGUUCUGCCUCAGGAAUAAUCUAACAGGCUCCUUCAGCGCUUUAAAACAAUCUUUAUAUAAUAAAUUAAUUAGAAAAGAAAACAGGUUUUGAGUUGUAACCUUGUUUGGAUAAAAGAUCUUUGUUAAACCCUCUAAUAAUGGAGCUGAAGAGCAGGAGGUUCUGGAGGCCUCUGGGAAACAAUGGGGUUCGGGCUGUCCUGCACAACUCAGUACUUCAGCUCUGUGCGGCGGACGCCAUUAAAGCCUAAAGAGCACAAAGUGAGAUGAGUUUCCAUUCAGUCCCUUAACUAGGCCACUGCUGCAGAGCUCUCUGUCGGCUCGGCCUAAUUGCUUCAGAUACAGGAGAUGUGAAAAGUCUGUGGUCUACGUCUCCUUCCUCUGGUGUCAAGAGAACACCAGAGCGCCUCCCAACACACUGGAAUCAAAACACUUGUGUGGGAUUGGUCCAGAGCAUCCCUGGUUGGUGCCCAUCAUGGUGGCGACUGCGACCAGGAGGAAUUAUGUGUAGUUCUAAAAGUUAGAUUUUUUAGUUUAAAAUCAGCUUUUUUGUUCUGCUUGCUUUAGUUUGCACCUGGGAAAUCCUCAAAAGGGAAAACAAAGAUGGAAGUGAUGGAAAACCAGUUCCAGUGCAGUGAUGUCAUCUGCACCGCCAGCGGACCCCCCCCCCCCCCCCCCCCCCACACACACACACACACAUGCAAGUACCUUCCCUGGAUUCUCGGAUUGUACGAGGAGCCAUCUUGGGAGACGUUUUUGCUGCAGCGCUUAAAAUGGCAGGGCUGGCACUAGAGAAACCCUGAUCAUCUCUGAGGACCAACACUCAACAAACCUCCUCACCAGACGGACGGGACUGAACAGAUUAGGAGAUUAUUUUGCACGAUGAAAAUGCACAAAUUAAGAUGUAUCAUCCCUGAACUUCAAAUGCUGCAAAACAUGAACAUUUAGUUGCAUAACUUUAGAUAAAAACUCAACAAAGCCUCCA